GUGGGGAAUAUUGCACAAUGGGGGAAACCCUGAUGCAGCGACGCCGCGUGAAGGAAGAAGUAUCUCGGUAUGUAAACUUCUAUCAGCAGGGAAGAAAAUGACGGUACCUGACUAAGAAGCCCCGGCUAACUACGUGCCAGCAGCCGCGGUAAUACGUAGGGGGCAAGCGUUAUCCGGAUUUACUGGGUGUAAAGGGAGCGUAGACGGAAGAGCAAGUCUCAUGUGAAAUGCUGGGGCUUAAUCUCAGGACUGCAUUGGAUACUGUUUUUCUUGAGUGCCGGAGAGGUAAGCGGAAUUCCUAGUGUAGCGGUGAAAUGCGUAGAUAUUAGGAGGAACACCAGUGGCGAAGGCGGCUUACUAGACGGUAACUGACGUUGAGGCUCGAAAGCGUGGGGAGCAAACAGGAUUAGAAACCCUUGUAGUCC
rnacentral:rRNA from 1 species